UACGUAGGUGCAAGCGUUGUCCGGAUUUACUGGGCGUAAAGGGCGCGUAGGCGGGAUGGCAAGUCAGAUGUGAAAUUUAUGGGCUUAACCCAUAAACUGCAUUUGAAACUGUCGUUCUUGAGUAUCGGAGAGGCAAGCGGAAUUCCUAGUGUAGCGGUGAAAUGCGUAGAUAUUAGGAGGAACACCAGUGGCGAAGGCGGCUUGCUGGACGACAACUGACGCUGAGGCGCGAAAGCGUGGGGUGCAAACA
rnacentral:rRNA from 1 species